CUGAUGCAGCCAUGCCGCGUGUGUGAAGAAGGCCUUCGGGUUGUAAAGCACUUUCAGCGAGGAGGAAAGGUUGAUGCCUAAUACGCAUCAACUGUGACGUUACUCGCAGAAGAAGCACCGGCUAACUCCGUGCCAGCAGCCGCGGUAAUAC
rnacentral:rRNA from 2 species